rnacentral:rRNA from 1 species
CCUACGGGUGGCAGCAGUGAGGAAUAUUGGUCAAUGGGCUUACGCCUGAACCAGCCAAGUCGCGUGAGGGAAGACUGCCCUAGGGGUUGUAAACCUCUUUUGUCAGGGAGCAACGCCGGCUACGUGUAGCCGGACUGAGAGUACCUGAAGAAAAAGCAUCGGCUAACACCGUGCCAUCAGCCGCGGGAAUGCGGAGGAUGCGAGCGUUAUCCGGAUUUAGUGGGUGUAAAGGGUGCGUAGGCGGAAUGGCAAGUCAGCGGUAAAAUCGCGGGGCUCAACCUCGCUCCGACGUUGAAACUGGCAUUCUUGAGUGGGCGAGAGGUAUGCGGAAUGCGUGGUGUAGCGGUGAAAUG